CACGUAUGGGGCGAGCGUUGUUCGGAAUUAUUGGGCGUAAAGGGUGCGCAGGCGGUUAUGCAAGUCUGGUGUCAAAGCCCGCAGCUCAACUGCGGAAGGGCAUUGGAAACUGUGUGACUAGAGUUCGUGAGGGGUAGCUGGAAUUCCAGGUGUAGGGGUGAAAUCUGUAGAUAUCUGGAAGAACAUCAAUGGCGAAGGCAAGCUACUGGCACUGAACUGACGCUGAGGCACGAAAGCGUGGGGAG
rnacentral:rRNA from 1 species